rnacentral:rRNA from 1 species
CCUACGGGGGGCAGCAGUGGGGAAUAUUGGACAAUGGGGGCAACCCUGAUCCAGCCAUGCCGCGUGUGUGAAGAAGGCCCUCGGGUUGUAAAGCACUUUCAGUGAGGAAGAACGCCUGGUGGUUAAUACCCAUCAGGAAAGACAUCACUCACAGAAGAAGCACCGGCUAACUCCGUGCCAGCAGCCGCGGUAAUACGGAGGGUGCGAGCGUUAAUCGGAAUUACUGGGCGUAAAGCGCGCGUAGGUGGCUUGAUAAGCCGGUUGUGAAAGCCCCGGGCUCAACCUGGGAACGGCAUCCGGAACUGUCAAGCUAGAGUGCAGGAGAGGAAGGUAGAAUUCCCGGUGUAGCGGUGAAAUGCGUAGAGAUCGGGAGGAAUACCAGUGGCGAAGGCGGCCUUCUGGACUGACACUGACACUGAGGUGCGAAAGCGUUGGUAGCAAACAGGAUUAGAUACCCCAGUAGUC